rnacentral:rRNA from 1 species
GACGAACGCUGGCGGCGUGCUUAACACAUGCAAGUCGAACGGAAAGGCCCUGCUUUUGUGGGGUGCUCGAGUGGCGAACGGGUGAGUAACACGUGAGUAACCUGCCCUUGACUUUGGGAUAACUUCAGGAAACUGGGGCUAAUACCGGAUAGGAGCUCCUGCUGCAUGGUGGGGGUUGGAAAGUUUCGGCGGUUGGGGAUGGACUCGCGGCUUAUCAGCUUGUUGGUGGGGUAGUGGCUUACCAAGGCUUUGACGGGUAGCCGGCCUGAGAGGGUGACCGGCGACAUUGGGACUGAGAUACGGACCAGACUCCUACGGGAGGCAGCAGUGGGGAAUAUUGCACAGUGGGCGGAAGCCUGAUGCAGCAACGCCGCGUGCGUGAUGACGGCCUUCGGGUGGUAAACCGCUUUCGCCUGUGACGAAGCGUGAGUGACGGUAAUGGGUAAAGAAGCACCGGCUAACUACGUG